GGCUCUAUAGCUCAGUUGGGAGAGCGUGGCACUGAAGAUGCCAAGGUCAGGCGUUCGAUCCGCCUUGGAGCCA
rfam:Auxenochlorella protothecoides strain 0710 unplaced genomic scaffold scaffold52, whole genome shotgun sequence.